rnacentral:rRNA from 1 species
UACAGAGGUCUCAAGCGUUGUUCGGAUUCAUUGGGCGUAAAGGGCUCGUAGGCGGUUUGUCGCGUCGGGAGUGAAAACACCGGGCUUAACUCGGUGCUUGCUUUCGAUACGGGCAGACUAGAGGCAUGCAGGGGAGAACGGAAUUCCUGGUGUAGCGGUGAAAUGCGCAGAUAUCAGGAGGAACACCGGUGGCGAAGGCGGUUCUCUGGGCAUGUCCUGACGCUGAGGAGCGAAAAGUGUGGGGAGCGAACAGG